GUCGGGAUAGCUCAGUUGGUAAAGCAGAGGACUGAAAAUCCUCGUGUC
rnacentral:tRNA from 1 species